rnacentral:rRNA from 1 species
CUCGCAUGAGGAAAUGUUGAAAGGUGGCUUUUAGCUACCACUUACAAAUGGACCCGCGGCGCAUUACCUAGUUGGUGAGGUAACGGCUCACCAAGGCAACAAUGCGUACCCAACCUGAAAGGGUGAUCGGCCACACUGGGACUGAAACACGGCCCAAACUCCUACGGGAGGCAGCAGUAGGGAAUCUUCCGCAAUGGACAAAAGUCUGACGGACCAACCCCCCGUGAGUGAUGAAGGUUUUCGGAUCGUAAAGCUCUGUUGUUAGGGAAAAACAAGUGCCGUUCAAAUAGGGCGGCCCCUUGACGGUACCUAACCAAAAAGCCACGGCUAACUACGUGCCAGCAGCCGCGGUAAUACGUAGGUGGCAAGCGUUGUCCGGAAUUAUUGGGCGUAAAGCGCGCGCAGGUGGUUUCUUAAGUCUGAUGUGAAAGCCCACGGCUCACCCGUGGAGGGUCAUUGAAAACUGGGGAACUUGAGUGCAAAAAAGGAAAGUGGAAUUCCAAGUGUAGCGGUGAAAUGCGUAGAUAUUUGGAGGAACACCAGUGGCGAAGGCGACUUUC